GGGUGACCUACCUCGAGGUGGGGGAUAACCCGGGGAAACUCGGGCUAAUACCGCAUAACAUCGUGAGAUCAAAGCGGCCCGCAAGGGUCGCGCCGUGAGAGGGGCCCGCGUCUGAUUAGCUAGUUGGUGAGGUAACGGCUCACCAAGGCGACGAUCAGUAGCCGGCCUGAGAGGGCGAUCGGCCACACUGGAACUGAGACGCGGUCCAGACUCCUACGGGAGGCAGCAGUGGGGAAUUUUGCGCAAUGGGGGAAACCCUGACGCAGCAACGCCGCGUGGAGGAUGAAGGUCCUUGGAUUGUAAACUCCUGUCAGCAGGGAAGAACUCCUUACGGUGAAUAACCGUAAGGAUUGACGGUACCUGCAGAGGAAGCCCCGGCUAACUCUGUGCCAGCAGCCGCGGUAAUACAGAGGGGGCAAGCGUUAUUCGGAAUUAUUGGGUGUAAAGGGUAAGUAGGUGGCUCCGCAAGUGGUGGGUGAACUCCCCAAGGACAUUCAUCCUCCACGCGGCCAAAUGCGUCAGGGUUUCCCCCAUUGCGCAAAAUUCCCCACUGCUGCCUCCCGUAGGAGUCUGGACCGCGUCUCAGUUCCAGUGUGGCCGAUCGCCCUCUCAGGCCGGAUACUGAUCGUCGCCUUGGUGAGCCGUUACCUCACCAACUAGCUAAUCAGACGCGGGCCCCUCUCACGGCGCGACCCUUGCGGGCCGCUUUGAUCUCACGAUGUUAUGCGGUAUUAGCCCGAGUUUCCCCGGGUUAUCCCCCACCUCGAGGUAGGUCACCCACGUGUUACUCACCCGUCUGCCGCUCGACUCAGGUAU
rnacentral:rRNA from 1 species